GGCCGAGCCGCGCGAUGACGGGCUCCGCAGCCCUGCCCCCGCCGCUGCGCGGCCGCCCGGCCCGGCGGGAGGCGGGGGGAUUUCCAAGCGCCGGCGGCUCGCCGCUUCCUCUCCUUGUUUUGCUUUCGAUCUGGACCUUUCGCGGCCGAAGCGGAGGGAGUAACUUUUAGUUUUGCUCCCGCGAUUAUUCAGCGCCUGUUUUCAUUUCCAUUUCGCGUCCCCUGGCAACGGCGGUAACCUUGAGGAAUUAUAUAAGUGCCGCGAAGACGCGUUGGAAAGAGAUGUUGUUGACGUAUGGCUGCCAAAAAAGCACUGCAUUUUAGCGUCGUUAUGGUCCGUGCUGUCCCAAGGCAGAAGGGUCCGGGAGUGUUUUCUGAAAACGUCAGGCUUUAUUUUCUUCAGCUCGUGGUCAUUGAGGAGCGCAGGGUAUGUUUUGAUGAAUGCACACAUGCUGUGUUUGCCCUUCUGUGAAAUACAGCUCCCCAGAAGAUGCCCACAGCUCCCUCCAGCUGGACAUCAUCAUGGGCUAUUUUUAGCUGGCUUUGGUUUUACUUUCAGAUAAACAGAUCUUGGAAGCCACUCCUCCCUUCUCACAAGCCAAACUGCUUUUCUGCUUAGCGCUGAGGAAUGGUGCAGGUGAUGGAUGUGAAGGUGUGUGCUACUGGCUGUGGAUUCUGUGCUGGUUCCAGAGGGCUCCAGGCACUGGGAAGGAGAUGAGCAUCUGCAGGGAACAGCUGGUAGAGCCCCUGGGGACGUGAGAGGGAUGUGAGAAAUGUCUCUACCUUGCCGUUCUGAGCAAGGCUCCUUCCUUGUAGCGGUGGUGUCAGCAGUUUCUUCCCUCCUGAAAAGCAUCACUUUUUCACAAAGGCAGCUUUUUUUUUUUUCACCCCCAGGUGGAAUUUGCUGCUGCUAUCUUAGAGGUUAUUUCCUUGCUUUUUGUGUAACUAGUUCAUUCAGAUAGGCUUGAAAUUUGUCUUAGAGGCUUGUUAGCCGCAACACAGGAUGCAUCCUGUGCACUCACUUACAGAUUGAAGUCUGAAGAUUAUAUGUAGUGUUUCUUUGACUUGUCUCAGAGUGUUCAUGUAUUUGAAAGAGUCCUAGGAAGAAAAGCUUAUAAUAUGCUAGUU
rnacentral:lncRNA from 1 species